GAUGAACGCUGGCGGCGUGCUUAACACAUGCAAGUCGAACGGAAAGGCCCAAGCUUGCUUGGGUACUCGAGUGGCGAACGGGUGAGUAACACGUGGGUGAUCUGCCCUGCACUUCGGGAUAAGCCUGGGAAACUGGGUCUAAUACCGGAUAGGACCACUUCUUGGAUGUUGUGGUGGAAAGUUUUUUCGGUGUGGGAUGAGCUCGCGGCCUAUCAGCUUGUUGGUGGGGUAAUGGCCUACCACGGCGUCGACGGGUAGCCGGCCGGAGAGGGUGUACGGCCACAUUGGGACUGAGGUACGGCCCAGACUCCUACGGGAGGGAACAGUGGGGAAUAUUGCACAAUGGGCGACAGCCUGAUGCAGCGACGCCGCGUGGGGGAUGACGGCCUUCGGGUUGUAAACUCCUUUCGCUAGGGACGAGGCGUUUUGUGACGGUACCUGGAGAAGAAGCACCGGCUAACUACGUG
rnacentral:rRNA from 1 species